rnacentral:tRNA from 1 species
GCCCCCAUCGUCUAGCCCGGUCUAGGACACCGCCUUUUCACGGCGAUAACAGGGGUUCGAAUCCCCUUGGGGGCACCA